CAGCAGCCGCGGUAAUACUGAGGAUGCAAGCGUUAUCCGGAAUGAUUGGGCGUAGAGCGUCUGUAGGUGGCUUUUCAAGUCCGCCGUUAAAUCCCAGGGCUCAACCCUGGACAGGCGGUGGAAACUACCAAGCUGGAGUACGGUAGGGGCAGAGGGAAUUUCCGGUGGAGCGGUGAAAUGCGUAGAGAUGUGGAGGAACACCAGUGGCGAAGGCGACUCUCUGGUCUGUAACUGACGCUGAGGAGCGAAAGCGUGGGGAGCGAACAGGAUUAGAGACCCCCGUAGUCCCUGUCUCUUAUAC
rnacentral:rRNA from 1 species